rnacentral:lncRNA from 1 species
GUUGGGGGAGGAGCUCCUCCCACUAGAGGGGAGGAGCCCACUGGAGGAGGUGUUGCAUCUUGAGGAGGUCCCGCUACAUCUGGAGGAGGUGUUGCUGCUUGAGUAGGUCCUGCUACAACCGGAGGAGGUGUUGCUGCUUGAGGAGGUUCUGUUACAACUGGAGGAGGUGUUGCGGCUUGAGUAGGUCCUGCUACAACCGGAGGAGGUGUUGCUGCUUGAGGAGGUUCUGUUACAACUGGAGGAGGUGUUGCGACUUGAGGAGGUUCAACUGUCGCUGGAGGCACCGCUAUCAAUUACAGUGCAUAAGAAGAACUCAGUACCACUUCGAAUUAUUCUUCAAGCAGAGUGGCACAAGGUCCAUACUAAGCAAAGAGUUCUCUCACAGGAAUAUCCAUCAAAACCUUCAUCACAAUAUCAAUUAAAACCUUGCACGAUGAUUGCCACGUAUUUGUGCGAUUAACCAAAGACUGGACCCGGUACUGAAUGUCAUUCAUAUGGUAAUUUCACAAAUGGGUUGCUUUCAGCUGUGCGUUGCCUGUGGUGAAGAAAUAAUCACAAGUACGUAGCCUGAAUCGCUGCAGAAACUCUCCUAAUAUGUUGAAAUCAAAGUUAUGGGACAAAGUUUGUGUGAACGAUCCAUACAAGGAGCAGUCGACUGCAGUAGCCCCCGACGUCCGCCAACAGCCACAGCUCUAUCUCCGAUCACUGUAAACAUUGGAGAGAAGAAAAAUCUCUUAGUAAAGUUUAGAGUGCAAAUCGUAAUGUAAUUAGCUACUCCAAAGCACAAUGUGUCUGAUUUUCUUUGUGAGUUGAUCUUCAUGGUGACUGAUAGAGCUCAUUG